rnacentral:rRNA from 1 species
CCCGUUAAUGGGUGAUGGCGUGCCUUUUGUAGAAUGAACCGGCGAGUUACGAUUUGAUGCAAGGUUAAGCAGUAAAUGUGGAGCCGUAGCGAAAGCGAGUCUGAAUAGGGCGUUUAGUAUUUGGUCGUAGACCCGAAACCAGGUGAUCUACCCUUGGUCAGGUUGAAGUUCAGGUAACACUGAAUGGAGGACCGAACCGACUUACGUUGAAAAGUGAGCGGAUGAACUGAGGGUAGCGGAGAAAUUCCAAUCGAACCUGGAGAUAGCUGGUUCUCUCCGAAAUAGCUUUAGGGCUAGCCUCAAGUGAUGAUUAUUGGAGGU